AUGAACGCUAGCGACAGGCUUAACACAUGCAAGUCGAGGGGUAACAGGGUAGCAAUACCGCUGACGACCGGCGCACGGGUGAGUAACGCGUAUGCAACCUGCCUAUAACUGGGGAAUAGCUCCCUAGAAAGGGGAAUUAACACCGCAUAACACUAUUGAUUCGCAUGGAUUAGUAGUUAAAUGUAGCGAUACAGGUUAUAGAUGGGCAUGCGUGACAUUAGCUAGUUGGUGAGGUAACGGCUCACCAAGGCUACGAUGUCUAGGGGUUCUGAGAGGAAGGUCCCCCACACUGGUACUGAGACACGGACCAGACUCCUACGGGAGGCAGCAGUGAGGAAUAUUGGUCAAUGGGCGCAAGCCUGAACCAGCCAUGUCGCGUGCAGGAAGACUGCCCCUAUGGGUUGUAAACUGCUUUUAUAGUAGAAGAAACACAUCUACGAGUAGAUGUCUGCCAGUAUACUAUGAAUAAGCAUCGGCUAACUCCGUGCCAGCAGCUGC
rnacentral:rRNA from 1 species